rnacentral:rRNA from 2 species
GACGAACGCUGGCGGCGUGCCUAAUACAUGCAAGUCGAACGAACUCUGGUAUUGAUUGGUGCUUGCAUCAUGAUUUACAUUUGAGUGAGUGGCGAACUGGUGAGUAACACGUGGGAAACCUGCCCAGAAGCGGGGGAUAACACCUGGAAACAGAUGCUAAUACCGCAUAACAACUUGGACCGCAUGGUCCGAGCUUGAAAGAUGGCUUCGGCUAUCACUUUUGGAUGGUCCCGCGGCGUAUUAGCUAGAUGGUGGGGUAACGGCUCACCAUGGCAAUGAUACGUAGCCGACCUGAGAGGGUAAUCGGCCACAUUGGGACUGAGACACGGCCCAAACUCCUACGGGAGGCAGCAGUAGGGAAUCUUCCACAAUGGACGAAAGUCUGAUGGAGCAACGCCGCGUGAGUGAAGAAGGGUUUCGGCUCGUAAAACUCUGUUGUUAAAGAAGAACAUAUCUGAGAGUAACUGUUCAGGUAUUGACGGUAUUUAACCAGAAAGCCACGGCUAACUACGUGCCAGCAGCCGCGGUAAUACGUAGGUGGCAAGCGUUGUCCGGAUUUAUUGGGCGUAAAGCGAGCGCAGGCGGUUUUUUAAGUCUGAUGUGAAAGCCUUCGGCUCAACCGAAGAAGUGCAUCGGAAACUGGGAAACUUGAGUGCAGAAGAGGACAGUGGAACUCCAUGUGUAGCGGUGAAAUGCGUAGAUAUAUGGAAGAACACCAGUGGCGAACGCGGCUGUCUGGUCUGUAACUGACGCUGAGGCUCGAAAGUAUGGGUAGCAAACAGGAUUAGAUACCCUGGUAGUCCAUACCGUAAACGAUGAAUGCUAAGUGUUGGAGGGUUUCCGCCCUUCAGUGCUGCAGCUAACGCAUUAAGCAUUCCGCCUGGGGAGUACGGCCGCAAGGCUGAAACUCAAAGGAAUUGACGGGGGCCCGCACAAGCGGUGGAGCAUGUGGUUUAAUUCGAAGCUACGCGAAGAACCUUACCAGGUCUUGACAUACUAUGCAAAUCUAAGAGAUUAGACGUUCCCUUCGGGGACAUGGAUACAGGUGGUGCAUGGUUGUCGUCAGCUCGUGUCGUGAGAUGUUGGGUUAAGUCCCGCAACGAGCGCAACCCUUAUUAUCAGUUGCCAGCAUUAAGUUGGGCACUCUGGUGAGACUGCCGGUGACAAACCGGAGGAAGGUGGGGAUGACGUCAAAUCAUCAUGCCCCUUAUGACCUGGGCUACACACGUGCUACAAUGGAUGGUACAACGAGUUGCGAACUCGCGAGAGUAAGCUAAUCUCUUAAAGCCAUUCUCAGUUCGGAUUGUAGGCUGCAACUCGCCUACAUGAAGUCGGAAUCGCUAGUAAUCGCGGAUCAGCAUGCCGCGGUGAAUACGUUCCCGGGCCUUGUACACACCGCCCGUCACACCAUGAGAGUUUGUAACACCCAAAGUCGGUGGGGUAACCUUUUAGGAACCAGCCGCCUAAGGUGGGACAGAUGAUUAGGGUG